AUACGGGACUAUUAAGGACAUGAUUCCCUUCCAUAUUUUCAUGUUCUUAUAAUCUCGCAUCU
rnacentral:pre_miRNA from 1 species